rnacentral:rRNA from 1 species
CCUACGGGUGGCAGCAGUGAGGAAUAUUGGUCAAUGGACGCAAGUCUGAACCAGCCAUGCCGCGUGCAGGAAGACGGCUCUAUGAGUGGUAAACUGCUUUUGUACGAGGGUAAACGCAGAUACGCGUCUCUGUCUGAAAGUAUCGUACGAAUAAGGAUCGGCUAACUCCGUGCCAGCAGCCGCGGUAAUACGGAGGAUUCAAGCGUUAGCCGGAUUUAUUGGGUUUAAAGGGUGCGUAGGCGGUCGGAUAAGUUAGAGGUGAAAGCCCGAGGCUCAACUUCGGAAUUGCCUCUGAUACUGUUCGGCUAGAGAGUAGUGGCGGUAGGCGGAAUGUAUGGUGUAGCGGUGAAAUGCUUAGAGAUCAUACAGAACACCGAUUGCGAAGGCAGCUUACCAAGCUACUUCUGACGUUGAGGCACGAAAGCGUGGGGAGCAAACAGGAUUAGAUACCCGGGUAGUC